GAGUAACGCGUGAGAAUCUGGCUUUAGGUCUGGGACAACCAUUGGAAACGGUGGCUAAUACCGGAUGUGCCGAAAGGUGAAAGGCUUGCUGCCUAAAGAUGAGCUCGCGUCUGAUUAGCUAGUAGGUGGGGUAAAAGCCUACCUAGGCGACGAUCAGUAGCUGGUCUGAGAGGAUGAUCAGCCACACUGGGACUGAGACACGGCCCAGACUCCUACGGGAGGCAGCAGUGGGGAAUUUUCCGCAAUGGGCGAAAGCCUGACGGAGCAAUACCGCGUGAGGGAGGAAGGCUCUUGGGUUGUAAACCUCUUUUCUCAAGGAAGAAAAAAAUGACGGUACUUGAGGAAUCAGCAUCGGCUAACUCCGUGCCAGCAGCCGCGGUAAUACGGAGGAUGCAAGCGUUAUCCGGAAUGAUUGGGCGUAAAGCGUCCGCAGGUGGCUGUGUAAGUCUGCUGUUAAAGAGCAAAGCUCAACUUUGUAAGAGCAGUGGAAACUACACGGCUAGAGUGCGUUCGGGGCAGAGGGAAUUCCUGGUGUAGCGGUGAAAUGCGUAGAGAUCAGGAAGAACACCGGUGGCGAAGGCGCUCUGCUAGGCCGCAAACUGACACUGAG
rnacentral:rRNA from 1 species